UUUAAGCCGGUGAAGAGUGGUGCUCAGCGAGCACGGGUGCUGGGCACCUGCGUGGCGAGUGGCGAACGGGUGAGUAAUACAUCGGAACAUGUCCUGUAGUGGGGGAUAGCCCGGCGAAAGCCGGAUUAAUACCGCAUACGAUCUACGGAUGAAAGCGGGGGACCUUCGGGCCUCGCGCUAUAGGGUUGGCCGAUGGCUGAUUAGCUAGUUGGUGGGGUAAAGGCCUACCAAGGCGACGAUCAGUAGCUGGUCUGAGAGGACGACCAGCCACACUGGGACUGAGACACGGCCCAGACUCCUACGGGAGGCAGCAGUGGGGAAUUUUGGACAAUGGGCGAAAGCCUGAUCCAGCAAUGCCGCGUGUGUGAAGAAGGCCUUCGGGUUGUAAAGCACUUUUGUCCGGAAAGAAAUCCUUGGCUCUAAUACAGUCGGGGGAUGACGGUACCGGAAGAAUAAGCACCGGCUAACUACGUGCCAGCAGCCGCGGUAAUACGUAGGGUGCAAGCGUUAAUCGGAAUUACUGGGCGUAAAGCGUGCGCAGGCGGUUUGCUAAGACCGAUGUGAAAUCCCCGGGCUCAACCUGGGAACUGCAUUGGUGACUGGCAGGCUAGAGUAUGGCAGAGGGGGGUAGAAUUCCACGUGUAGCAGUGAAAUGCGUAGAGAUGUGGAGGAAUACCGAUGGCGAAAGCAGCCCCCUGGGCCAAUACUGACGCUCAUGCACGAAAGCGUGGGGAGCAAACAGGAUUAGAUACCCUGGUAGUCCACGCCCUAAACGAUGUCAACUAGUUGUUGGGGAUUCAUUUCCUUAGUAACGUAGCUACGCGUGAAGUUGACCGCCUGGGGAGUACGGUCGCAAGAUUAAAACUCAAAGGAAUUGACGGGGACCCGCACAAGCGGUGGAUGAUGUGGAUUAAUUCGAUGCAACGCGAAAACCUUACCUACCCUUGACAUGGUCGGAAUCCUGCUGAGAAGGUGGGGAGUGCUCGAAAGAAGACCGGCGCACAGGUGCUGCAUGGCUGUCGUCAUCUUCGUGUCGUGAGAAUGUCUGGGUUAAAUCCCGCCAACGAAGCGCAAGCCCUUGUUCCUUAAUUUGCUACGCCACGAGCACCUCCUACGAAACAGUCCCGGUGACAAAACCAGAAGGAAGUGGGGAUGACCUCAAGUCUCUCCUGGGCGCCUUUAUGGUUGGGGGUUUAAGUU
rnacentral:rRNA from 1 species